rnacentral:lncRNA from 1 species
UGUUAAUGCUCUUAUUAACAUUUUCCUUUAUAGCCUCUAUGGAUUCUUCAGGUUUUUCCUUCACUAUAUUCCCGACUGCUUUCGUCUUGCGCAUCGCCUUUUAUACACACAUCGAAAAUAAGUAUUAAUUGAUAAUUACUUGAAAACAACAACAACAACAACAACAACAACAACAACAACAACAACAAUAACAACAAUAACAACAACACAGUAUAAUCCCACUAGUAAGGUCUGGGGAGGGCAGUGUGUACGCAGACCUUACCCCAUACCUGGGGUAGAGAGGCUGUUUCCAAUAGAGCUUCGGCAUCCUUCCCUCCAAGAACUCCCCACCUUGUUCUUGGGGUGACUCGAACUCACAACUUCUUGGUUGGAAGUGGAGGAUGCUUACCAUCAGAGCAACUCAUCUUAUCCAGGGUACUUGAAAAUUGAAAUAAUUUAUAAACUAUGAGUAAUACUUAUAGUAUAACAGAUUAUACAAUCAUAUCAUUAAAAUAGAGUCACAAGUGAAAAACAGAUUGGGAGAAAGAGAGAGAAAAUGUAAUGCGUUGAUGAUUUCACAGAAAACGAAACUUCAAACUUACACCACAUUUGUUGCUUUUCACUACUAUAUAAUUGCCAAAUUUACCAAAAUACAUACAAGCAACUAUGCAACAAAGAAUGAAAACAGAGGCAAAAAGAAAACUUCAAAAUGUGGUAUGCUGAUGGAUGAUGAGAUACGCUAGGGUAGUUUUGUCAAGUCACUAAAAAUGUUAUGUAACAGCUGCAGCAUAAUUACUUUUCGGCCAAUCAUGUUGCUCAGCUUUUCAGAAAUUACUAAAAUACCCUCAGUUAUGCCAAGCAGGCAUGUUGACCUCCUGUGUGUUAUUCCCCUUUAUAAGAUAGUACUAGUUGGCGGUAGCCCGGGCGGUGCCCGGGCCCAAGGAGCUUAUACAUUUUUGAUUUAACAUUAAAAAAAAAUUGUUUAAAGACUAAAGUAAAAUUGAACAAAAUCUAUUCGGUUUGAUUCAAAAUCUAUACAAUUGAUUAACUUUCUUCUUGUUGCUGCAAUUCUAUCAACUAUAUUAGGUCCCUAAUAGUUGUUGACUUGUCGUGCUCUUAGGAAGCAGAGCGUAUUUGCCUUGAGACCGAGACAAUAAGUUGGUCUGGAAAAUACAAAAGUAAAAAAUGUUUUAGCACAUGUGCGUAAUACAAAUUAUCAGAAUAGAAAAAGUAGAAAUUAACACAUCCGUGCAUUACAAUUUAUUAAAAUAAAUAUUUUUUUUUAAAUUCUCUUUAAAUUCUUGAUUGUAACAUACUUUACCGUCUAUUAACCUAAAUUAUUGUCUUACUUCCAUACAUUUUAACAAAAGAGAAGGGAUAAUGUAUUGGGUAUAGUCAAUACAUUGAAUUAUAAUUUGUGUCUGAAUUUGUUUGACUUGCAUUAUAGUCUUACAUGUGAUUAGUGCAAAUGAAGUAUUCUGUACAGGAGCUGCACUUGGUGUUGCACCAGUAGGUGUAUAAGGAACCAUGAUAGCUGAGAUAAAAAUAUUUGCUAGUGCUAGAAGUUAAUGAAUGUUUUUCUGUAGCAUCAAAUCUUAUGAUGUUUAAGAGUCUUAUAGAAAAUGAAUUAUGUACCAUUUCUCUCCAUGUGAUAUAUGUUGUCUAAGGCAUUUAUCACUAUUUUUNCNNCN